rnacentral:misc_RNA from 1 species
GAUGAAGAACGCAGCGAAAUGCGAUAAGUAAUGUGAAUUGCAGAAUUCAGUGAAUCAUCGAAUCUUUGAACGCACAUUGCGCCCCUCGGUAUUCCGGGGGGCAUGCCUGUUCGAGCGUCAUUAUAACCACUCAAGCUCUCGCUUGGUAUUGGGGUUCGCGGUUCCGCGGCCCCUAAAAUCAGUGGCGGUGCCUGUCGGCUCUACGCGUAGUAAUACUCCUCGCGAUUGAGUCCGGUAGGUCUACUUGCCAGCAACCCCCAAUUUUUACAGGUUGACCUCGGAUCAGGUAGGGAUACCCGCUGAACUUAAGCAUAUCAAUAAGCGGAGGA